GUGCUUGCUUUACCAGCAUGUAUACUAAAACUGGAACAAUAUAGAGAAGAUUAGCAUGGCCCCUGCCCAAGGAUGACACAUGAAUUUGUGAAGUGGUCCAUAUUUUU
rnacentral:snRNA from 1 species